rnacentral:rRNA from 1 species
AUUGAACGCUGGCGGCAUGCCUUACACAUGCAAGUCGAACGGCAGCACGGGUGCUUGCACCUGGUGGCGAGUGGCGAACGGGUGAGUAAUACAUCGGAACAUGUCCUGUAGUGGGGGAUAGCCCGGCGAAAGCCGGAUUAAUACCGCAUACGAUCUACGGAUGAAAGCGGGGGACCUUCGGGCCUCGCGCUAUAGGGUUGGCCGAUGGCUGAUUAGCUAGUUGGUGGGGUAAAGGCCUACCAAGGCGACGAUCAGUAGCUGGUCUGAGAGGACGACCAGCCACACUGGGACUGAGACACGGCCCAGACUCCUACGGGAGGCAGUAGUGGGGAAUUUUGGACAAUGGGCGAAAGCCUGAUCCAGCAAUGCCGCGUGUGUGAAGAAGGCCUUCGGGUUGUAAAGCACUUUUGUCCGGAAAGAAAUCCUUGGCCCUAAUACGGUCGGGGGAUGACGGUACCGGAAGAAUAAGCACCGGCUAACUACGUG